GGGGAUAUAGCUUAGUUGGUAGAGUGCUUGACUUGCAUGUACAAGGCCCUGGAUUUAAUCCCCAGCACUACAAAAAAAAAUUUUUUUAAAGGUUAAAAAAUAAAGUCAAAAGAAAAACAAGAGAGUUCCACAGAAAAUCCACAUGUCCAGCUUAUCUGGAAAAAUCUAGAGAUUGGCCAUCUGGGCCGAUUCCCU
rnacentral:tRNA from 1 species